rnacentral:tRNA from 1 species
GGUGGACGUGGCCGUCGGAGCCCUGCGGCGGCGCCGGGCGGAGGUGCGGGGGUGAUCGCGGCGACCGGCCUGCGCUGGAUCCUGACCCUGCUGUUCGCCG